UAUGUGAUCGUCUCUCGCAUAUCAAUAAGCGGAGGAAAAGAAACUAACAAGGAUUCCCCUAGUAACGGCGAGUGAAGCGGGAAGAGCUCAAAUUUGAAAUCUUAAAGGGUUUCCCUUUACGAAUUGUAGUUUAAAGAAGUGUUUUCUGUUGAGGUUUUGGUAAAGGUUCUUUGGAAUAGGACAUCAUAGAGGGUGAGAAUCCCGUAUUUGACCUUUACUUUCAACUUUGUGAUACACUUUCAAAGAGUCGGAUUGUUUGGGAAUGCAGUCCAAAAUGGGUGGUAAACUUCAUCUAAAGCUAAAUAUUGGCGAGAGACCGAUAGCGAACAAGUACCGUGAGGGAAAGAUGAAAAGAACUUUGAAAAGAGAGUUAAACAGUACGUGAAAUUGUCAAAAGGGAAGCGUUUGACACCAGUGUUGUUUUUCUGAAAAUCAAUUAAAGAACUGUUUAUGCUAAGCUGUUUAGACUUUAUCAGCUAACUGUUUAGUUUUGAGCUUUUCUUUAAUGCACUUUUCAGUUAACAAGUCAACAUCAAUUUCUUUUGCUGUAAAAAAGCUUGAGGAAGGUGGCUUGAGAUUCGUCUUAAGUGUUUAUAGCCUCUUGCCUAUGCAGUCGGAGAGAUUGAGGUCUGCAGCGUAGAUCCUUCGGGGCUAAAUGCAUUUGUGCUAAGUUAUAGCAUUUUAUAGACAACUUGUUGACUAUGAUUUGUCUUGUAGCUUACUCGCCUAUGUUAUUUUACCUACGCUUAGGAUGUUGAGUAGCGACAUACGCAC
rnacentral:rRNA from 1 species